CCGGUGCCUGGGCAGGCGGGGCAGCCGGUGCCGGGUCAGCCGGCGGCGGGUCAGCCGGUGGCGGGGGCGCCGUUCGGUGCGCCGGUGCCGGGC
rnacentral:tRNA from 1 species